AACCUGGAGGAGAUCUGGGGUCACCAAGGUGGGACCUGGAGAAGGUUUGGGGUCACCAAGGUGGGACCUGGAGGAUCUGAAGAAGAUUGAGGGGCACCAAGGUGGGACCUGGAGGACCUGGAGAACAUUGAGGGGCACCAAGGUGGGACCUGGAGAAGGUUUGGGGUCACCAAGGUGGGACCUGAUGGACAUUGGGGUCACCAAGGUGGGACCUGGAGAAGGUUUGCGGUCACCA
rnacentral:lncRNA from 1 species